rnacentral:rRNA from 1 species
GCAAGUCGAGGGGUAACAGGGGUGCUUGCACCCGCUGACGACCGGCGCACGGGUGCGUAACGCGUAUAGAACCUACCUUUUACAGGAGAAUAGCCUUUAGAAAUGAAGAUUAAUGCUCCAUGGUAUUAUUGAUUGGCAUCAAUUAAUAAUUAAACAUUUAUGGGUAAAAGAUGGCUAUGCGUUCUAUUAGCUAGAUGGUAAGGUAACGGCUUACCAUGGCGACGAUAGAUAGGGGCCCUGAGAGGGGGAUC